GAUCAUUACCGAGUGAGGGCCCUCUGGGUCCAACCUCCCACCCGUGUUUAUUAUACCUUGUUGCUUCGGCGGGCCCGCCUUAUGGCCGCCGGGGGGCUUCUGCCCCCGGGCCCGCGCCCGCCGAAGACAUCUCGAACUCUGUCUGAAGAUUGUAGUCUGAGUAAAAAUAUAAAUUAUUUAAAACUUUCAACAACGGAUCUCUUGGUUCCGGCAUCGAUGAAGAACGCAGCGAAAUGCGAUACGUAAUGUGAAUUGCAGAAUUCAGUGAAUCAUCGAGUCUUUGAACGCACAUUGCGCCCUCUGGUAUUCCGGAGGGCAUGCCUGUCCGAGCGUCAUUGCUGCCCUCAAGCACGGCUUGUGUGUUGGGCUCCGUCCCCCGAUCCCGGGGGACGGGCCCGAAAGGCAGCGGCGGCACCGCGUCCGGUCCUCGAGCGUAUGGGGCUUUGUCACCCGCUCUGUAGGCCCGGCCGGCGCUUGCCGAUCAACCAAAAUUUUUAUCCAGGUUGACCUCGGAUCAGGUAGGGAUACCCGCUGAACUUAAGCAUAUCAAUA
rnacentral:rRNA from 1 species